rnacentral:lncRNA from 1 species
AUGUCUAUGCAAUUUCAAGAUGAUACAGAUGGUAUACCUCCUCCUGAGGCUGAAAGUAGGAAUGAAAGGCCCCAAAGGAUAAAGCACCCUUCAGCCAAGAUGCUAGCCCAUCUAAUAGAUGAAAAGGAGCUCCUCCAUGUGAGGUUAGGUUCGGCAUGGGAGCGAAUUGUAACAUUGAUGGACAGAAUUGAGAGCUUGGGUAUUACAAGGGUGCCAUCCAUAUUACAGACCGACCUUGAAGAGACCUUCGGUCUCUGGAGGGGUUUGGUGUCUAAGAUAGUCCAGGUCCUCGAGCGCAUUAACGCCAAGGAUUCAGAGUUAGAAAUAGUGAGUGUCUUAGCUGACACUAAUGAGAAAGAAAAUAAGGUGAGGGCAAUUCUAGAUGCCUUGGAAUUUAGUUCUCCACCUGUUAAUCUAAGGUCUGAGCCAAAAGGAAAUCAGUCUUCCUUAUGCAGCCAUGAGACCAAUCUUUUAAAAUCACCUGCUGUGGCACUUAGUCUUAAGUCCAACCGCUCUAGCCAGGUAUCUAAGCUAAGGGAGUGUGCAUCAUCUAAACAUAGCCACUCUAGCAAGUCUUCUGCUGCUGGGAGUGCCAUCUCUUCCCUAGCUGCCUUGCACAUUAAGGAGGCUGCGCGUCUGAAGCUAAAGAGCAAGGUAGCGGGGGCGGAGGCUGAUGCUAAGGCAGCUGAUCUCACCCUUCCCUUUAAAGAAGAAGAGCAACGACUGCAAAUAGAACAGGCCCGUAGACAAAGCGAAAUGCAAAUGGAACAGGCCCAAAGGCAAGGUGAAAUAGAAAUGCUUAGAAUAAGGAUGGAUGCUACUGCCAAAAAGGUAAGGGCUGAGACUUUGGCCAAGGCCCUAAUUGAGCCACUCACAGAAGAAAAUGUAAGUCAGUUGCCGAAGCAGGACCCUUCUUCCAAGGUGCUUGUGCAUCUUAAUAGCUUAAACAGCCAGUUUUUGGAUGAGGAACAGGAAGACUUCUCUCCUUACCCAGAGCAGGGCCCCAAAGUCACUUUUGAGUUUCCUGCAGAGCAGAGCGUCAUAGCGGGGAGCUCACCCUUGCCCGGGCUACCUGUGCCUCCUGCUAAAUCCCUAGGUCAGUCAAUCAGGGCCUCAAGGCCAAGUGCUAGUUGGCCCUUACAGACAGCUGCACAGGGAGCCACCGAUUCGUCAGUGGUCGAUGUCAUCCCUCCAAGAGGCCAAAGGUUGACGCAAGGUGCACGGUGGGAGUCCACUCCACAACAGCAAACUCCUCAAUUGUUCCCUUCGACGCCAGAGUCCCAGCUUGUCUCCAUCAUCAGAAGCCCCAGAAGAGAUCUUAAGGACAAGGGUGUCGAAAAGUUUUCGGACAAGCCUGAGGAAUUUCUUCUCUGGAAGGCCACCUUCCAGAGAGCAAUCAGAGACUUAAAGUUAUUACCUGAGGAAGAACUGACUCUUCUGGCUGCAUGGUUGGGCCCAGCCUCAUCCUCACAAGUUAAGAAGAUCUACGCAGCCCAUGUAGCCGAUCCCGACAAAGCCCUGGAAAAGGCCUGGGCCAGGUUGCAGCAGAGGUAUGGGGCCAGCACAGAGAUUGAAGCAUCUCUUAUGGACAAGCUCCAAAGGUUCCCAGCUUUGAAACUCAAAGACUUCAAACUCUUGUGGGACCUCAGCGAUCUCCUUACGGAAUUAGAGUCGGCCAAGGAGAAUCCAGAACUGCCCGGUUUGAAGUGCCUCGAUCAGCACCUGUCCCAGAGGCAGAUCUUGACCAAGCUGCCCUUCACUUUGCAAGAACGCUGGGGACAGGAGGUCUUCAACUACAAGGAGGCCCACUCCCAGGCUGUGAUGACCCAUGGGCCUUGUAGUCCUGCUCAGGACAUUGUAAUUCCUGAUGAAGAUGAAAACUUGGGUUUUUUACCUUCCCAGUCUGAACUGGAUUCCUCUCUGCCAGAUCUUUCCCAGGCAGAUCUGGGAACCUUGCACCUGCAAGAAAGUUGUCUCCCAGAAGUAUGUCAAACAAGCCCAGAGCCUACUUCUCCCGUAUUCUUGCGCCGGGAGUUUUGUAAACAACAGAGAAGUUUGGAUUCAGCUUCGCGCAGGAGUGCGCGGAUUGCAGCUAAGAAUGUGGCCAAUUAA